rnacentral:rRNA from 1 species
AUGGGACAAACUCAUAGAGAUGUUCAAAGUUUCAAGUCAGAAUUGAAGAGAACUAUUGAUUCGGAUAAAGUUCAUGUGGAGGAAAGAGAUGCACCUGGUGGUAGUUUUUCAAGCACAAAAUCAAGUACGACUUCAUUAAAAAUGCUAUUAGCAAAAGAGACGAGUAAAGAAGUGGAGUCGAAGAGCAACGCACCAAGUGUCGUUGCAAGAUUAAUGGGCCUUGAGGAUGAUUUUCCUGCCAAAGAACUAGUUUUAUACCAUGCUAAGAGAGAUUUUAGGGAAAGUCAAUCAUGUGACCACUUAACAGUGACAAAGAAGGCCUUGCAGCAGCAGCAGCAUCAGAAUUCCAUACAGUCCGUUACACAAGUUAUCCAUACAUCCUGUGAAACAAUUGAAUAUGAUGGUGUAUAUGAAGGAUGUGAAGAGAAAGCCACAAUGAAUUUGUUUCAGGAUCAAUCUUCACAGGAAGGAAGACAUUCUGAGAGCAAGAGUGGUAGAAUGGAUACUGUCCCAGAGAAGUUCAGGCAAGGAAAAAGCCUUGCUAUGGAAGAAAAGCUCCUUCAUUCUGGGGAGUUAGAAGAAUCUCUCCAUGUUCUUAGUUCAGAGAAAGAUUUUUUUCUUAAAUGUCAUGAAGAACCUGACCCCAUUUUGCCAAGAUGGAUGAGCGGGCUUCACCGGACUCCGGGAUCACCUCCGACAAGACGCAUUACGGUGCUGAAACCGAUGAGAUCUGUUCAGUAUAAUGGUGUAAGACAAUCAAGAACAGACCGGGCUAUUGAGCCAAAUGGACUGGGGCUCAGAAAGUUUCAUCAGAGGUCUAGUUCAAAAGAAGGAACCCCUUCGCAGCCAAGUAGUAGAAUAGUACUCUUGAGGCCUACCACAGGGAAGCCAAGUAUACCGAAUGCAAAGCUGACGCACAAGGCAGCUCCAUUUCGGUUAAUUGACCGGAACAAUUUCAACAGAGUAUUACUUGAUAAUGCGGCAACCCCAGCUUCCACAGAAGUAGUGAAUGAUAUCAUUCGGUACCGCCAAUAUGACUCUCGUCAACGAGAUGAUUCUUUGUUAUCUUCAACGCACUCAAACGGAUAUGGUGGUGAUGAAAGCUCAUUCAGCGAUUCAGAGGUUGAUCGCAGUGGAGAUUCUGAGGUUGAUUAUAUCGAAGAAGAUGGUGGCAGCUUCAGUGACUCGGAGGAAGGUAGUCCUGCAUCAAAGUAUUCAUGGGAUUACACCAGAAGAUAUGGAAGUCCCUACUCGGGCUCAUCCUUUGGCAGGAUCCCACAUUUACCUGAGUCAAUGGUUACUAAAGAGGCUAAGCAACGGCUUUCGCAGCGAUGGGCAAUGGUAACCUGUGAUGAGAUCAGUCAAGAGCAAGUACAGCCGCCAAGGAGCACAUGCACCUUAGGUGAGAUGCUCUCCCUCAAUGAAGCGACGAAAAAAGAUUUCACUAGUCGCCAAAAGGAUGAUAAAACUGGCGAGAGGUCAAGUAAGUUGCCAAGGUCAAAGUCUUUGCCAUUGAUUUCAGAUACAUUUGAUAACAUGGUGUCAAAAGUUCAAGCUUCAAAUCAUGAGAGCUGCAAACCAGCGACAGAGGUUUUAAUGUCCAAUAAAGGAAAAUUAUCUUUCACGGGAAGAAUUUCUGAUUUUCUGUUUCCUAAAAGAAAGCCAGUAAGGCAGAAAACCAACCAUCAUCCAUUGGAUUGCUUUGAUGGGAGGGUUGAAGCUUGUCCUGGUGAUAGUCAAUCACAUGCCAAUCAUAGUUUAGAAACUAAUGAAGAACAGGCACUCCAUGAAGAGAAAAUUGACAUUUCUGCCAUGCAAAACUCUACCAGCACUUCAGAGGGAUCCGCUUCAGUUGAUGCGCCUAUAUCGUUGAUCUGUCGAAGCAGAAGACUGGAUAGGCCAGGAUUAAAUGAAGGCCUAAACAGCACUCGCGAUCAGCCCAGUCCGACCUCAGUUCUUGAUGCACCCUCUGAAGAUAGCAGCUGUAAUGAACCUGAAUCAUCUGGAAGCACUACUUCCAAGAAUGCAAAAGCUGUGUCAAGAUCCUCAGCAAUCGAGGCUGUUGCGUGUUCAUUAUCAUGGGAUGAUACCACCUCAGAGUCACCAUCACUCCGACGGCCUUACCUUCCCUCCGACAUUGACGAUGAUGAAUCAGAAUGUCAUGUCCUUGUGCAAAACAUUAUGUCAUCUUCCAGGUUAGAAGAUGCACAGUCAAGCAUGGUCUUUGCUGGCUGGCAUUUACCCGACUGUCCUCUUGACCCAGUCCUGUGUAACAAACUCCUGGAGCUACGGGAGCAAAGGUCGUACAAAAGACUUCUAUUUGACUGUGUCAAUGUUGCUCUCAUCGAGAUCGGUGAGAACGCCCUGCUAAGCGCAUUCCCAUGGAGCAAAGCGUGCACCGGAACAUGGAGGGACAGCUCAUCCCCUGCUCUGGGGGUAGAGGUGUGGAGCAUUCUGAAAGACUGGAUUUACGGAGCGCGGAUGUUCAUGGUGAGCAAGAGGGAUAACACGGGGAUCAUGAUGGAUAGAAUCGUGAAGCAGGAGGUCGAAGGUGGUGGCUGGGUGAAAAUGAGGAUGUCGCAGGUGGUUGACAUCUUGGAGCAGAUCGAGAAGGGAGUUCUGGAGGAGCUGGUGGCGGAGUCUGUACUGGAUUUCACUACUUGA